AUUGAACGCUGGCGGCAUGCCUUACACAUGCAAGUCGAACGGUAACGGGCUUUCGGGUGCCGACGCGUGGCUGACGGGUGAGUAAUACAUCCGAACGUGCCCGAUCGUGGGGGAUAACGAGGCGACAGCUUUGCUAAUACCACAUCCGAUCUACGGAUGAACGCCGGGGACCGCAAGGGCUUGCUCGGGCGGAGCGGCCGAUGCCGGAUUAGGUAGUUGGUGGGAUAAAAGCUUACCCAGCCGACGAUCUGUAGCUGGACGGAGAGGAGGAUGAGCCACACUGGGACUGAGACACGGCCCAGACUCCUACGGGAGGCAGCAGUGGGGAAUUUUGGACAAUGGGCGCAAGCCUGAUCCAGCCAUGCCGCGUGCAGGAUGAAGGCCUUCGGGUUGUAAACUGCUUUUGUACGGAACGAAAAGCCUUCUUUUAAGACAGGAGGGUCAUGACGGUACCGUAAGAAUAAGCACCGGCUAACUACGUG
rnacentral:rRNA from 1 species